rnacentral:rRNA from 1 species
GUAUAUGAGGUGAUUAAUUGGAGGGCAAAUCGAGUGCCAGCAGCCGCGGUAAUACUUGUUCCAAGAGUGUGUAUGAUGAUUGAUGCAGUUAAAAAGUCCGUAGUUUAUUAUUAAGAAGCAAUAUGAGGUGUACUGUAUAGUUGGGAAAGAGAUGAAUUGUGACGACCCUGACUGGACGAACUGAAGCGAAAGCUGUACACUUGUAUGUAUUUUUGAACAAGGACGUAAGCUGGAGGAUCGAAGAUGAUUAGAUACCAUUGCAGUUCCAGCAGUAAACUAUGCCGACGAUGUGAUAUGAGAUGUUGUAUUACAUUAUAGAAAUUAGAGUUUUUGGCUCUGGGGAUAGUAUGAUCGCAAGAUUGAAAAUUAAAGAAAUUGACGGAAGAAUACCACAAGGAGUGGAUUGUGCGGCUUAAUUUGACUCAACGCGAGGUAACUUACCAAUAUUUUAUUGUUCGGCGAGGAUAUGAUCUGAGG